UCUCUGCCUCUCCCUCUCCACUCGCUCUCCCUCUCUCUCGAUCUCUCUCUCUGCCUACCCUCUCUCUCUCUCAAAACCCUAGCGCUCUCUCUCCAUCUCCUCUGCUCUCUGCUGCAGUUCAACCUUCUGUUGCUCCAUGGAUUCACCAAAACCCUAGAAGCGCCAUCUCCUCCCAUUGGCUCAUCUUCUCAAAUCCUAAGCCCGGCCAUGGAAACCUCUGGAUCUUCGUUGUGGCUGUCGUCAUCAUCCUUGCCGUAUUCUUCUAUCUUUCGACUGUCACAAGAGGUCCGGAAAGAAAGGGUAUGGGAUCGUGAUUGAUGCCAGAAGCACCAGGAUGCGAAUCCAUGUUUUUGAGUUCUCGAUGAGAAGAGGAUUGCCCAUUCUGAAGUUUCGGUAUGGGGGAUCCACGACAAUGAAGCCAACUGAGAGUAUCACUAUUCUGUCUACCUACUAUUACGGUUGUUCAUUAGAAAGAUGCAGAAGUGCUGAAAGAUGCAAAGGCCUUGGUUGACGGAAAUUUGAACCUAGUGGAGGAAAGCAUUUGGCCAAUGCUAGCUACAGACAGUUUAAAAGCUCUAGGUGGACUUGGCCUGCUUUCCCUUGGAGGAAAAUACCUACUCAGGCGUAUCUUUGAAGUUGGUAUCAUAUUCCUAAUAAUAACU